rnacentral:lncRNA from 8 species
AUGCGUUGUCUCUCUUCUCUUCUUCUCUCCCCAGUUUUUCUCAACCUGUUCAUCUCCAGAAUGGAUGGAAGGCUAGUACUUACCAUCCUGGCCCUGUGUGUAAUGAAUGUCGUAACCAUUGAAAUGAGCACAUUUCCCCCCCAACCUCUCACAUCAUCCAACUCCACUCCUGCUACCUCCGGUCCCAUCACUCCCAUCACUUCCUGUGAGUGUAAUAUCUCCACUUCCUGUUCCUCUCCGACCAAGCCCAAGUCUCUGCCACCUGCGCUGGGUGUUGUCAAGGUCAACUGGAAAGGAAAGUCCUGUAAGGGGGACAUACACCUGUCUCUCCUCUUGCACCAUUCCUUACCACUCUGUUUUAACAGUUUGGCUAAUCAUAGCCUUCAACUGGCAGAGUUGUGUGAGAGGAAGGGCUGCGAGGGCUCCCCAAAGUGGACUGAGACCCCUGCUAGGUCUGAGGGUUACCAGAUCGAUAGGGAUGGAAGGGUUACCAAUAACUCCUGUACAACACUGAGGAUCCAAUGCGUAGACGUCCCAGAUCAGUUAGUGGGCUAUAAGGUGGUGACUGGACUGCUGUGUGUUCUGGUGCUGGUGGUGCUGAUGGUGCGUUUCGGGCAGCCCUCCCUCAAGGCCUUCCGUAAGAGACUGUCAGACAAGAGACAGAGUCGGUGGAUCGGACCUACGCAGAGCCAAAGUGUCUCCUACCAUAGAGGGAAGGCUGGACUCCAACUUAACGACAACACAGACAAGAGACACUCCUACCCUGGAUUGGAGAGGCUGACGGUGAACACCAGCCGAGAGCCGUCGUCUAACAGAAACAGUGAUUAUGACUCUUAUAACUUGUGAUCAUCAUCAUCAGUCAUAUUCUUCAUCCUCCAAGACAAUAUACUGUACAUGUAUUUUUAAUAUUUUAUUAUAUUUUUUUAUGCUAAAUGUAAUAUUUUUUUACGCACAUAAUCUCAUUUUUUGUUGUUUCUGUAUGUAAUUCAAUCAUUCACUUCUUUAAUUGAAUAAAAAGUCAAGUUUGUUGUUGAAUAAAACGUUUGGACCUCAUACUGAUAACUGAACAGGAUGUUGUAAGUGAGAGAAAGAAAGAAAGGCAAUGAAAAGCAGGAUAAAAGAAAGAGGGAGAGAAAAUAACGUUGCGAGAAAGAACGGGGGGAUAAAAAAAGAGAUGUAAAUUGGGUUAUGUAGAGACAAGGGAAAUGAUGAGUGAGUGGCUUCACACGCGCACACACACACACACACACACAUACACACACACACACACACACACACACACACACACACACCGCACACAAACUUCUGCAACGAUGUGGCUUCCUGUGCCUUUGACACCAACAUCCUGUUUCUGUUAUUUCUGUCACACUUUCAUUCCAUCGUUCUAAAUUUAUGUGCAUCGGUACACCUUUGUCCCUCUUCUUAUCCUCGAACAACCUCUGUAAUCCCCCUCUUUUCCCCCCCAUCUCCGUCUUCCUGUCCUCUAUUCAUUUGGCUGUCGUGUCUACAUUUUUCUCAUUUAUCUUCUCAAACCAAGACUAUUGUUGGUGGAGGAGAUUGUUCUUCCGUAUCUUUUCACGUCUCUUUUGAGUUGAAUGAAAUAAUGUUUUCUGUCUGGAAUGGAAGUGGAGAAGAUUGGCAAACUGAGCCUCAGUCAUUCUUCUGUGUGUGUGUCUGUGUGUGUGUGUGUGUGUGUGUGUGUGUGUGUGUGUGUCUCUAACAGGGCAGUGUGUGACAUAAUAUGUGUGUGUCUGUGAGCGAGAGUGUGUGGGUGUAGUUUUGUGUCUUCCUCUCUGUCAGGUCACGCUAGACUAGAGGAUUAAAUCUGUCCCGUUAGAGGAACAAUGACAGAUGACAACAGAUUACACACAGAGAUUAUCUCAGAAAGAGGGAGAGAUGUGGAGUGAGAGGGUGAUAAGUGAGGGGGGAGAGGAGAGAGAGGGAGAGCAGAGAGAGGAGAGCGAGAGGAUAGAGAGGAGAGAGAGGAGGGGAGAGAGAGGGGGAGAGAGGAGAGGAGAGAGACAGGAGAGAGAGAGGGGAGGAGAGGAGAGGAGAGAGAGAGGAGAGAGGAUGGAAAGACAAAAGUAUGAUCAAGUGAACCUGCUGUGAAUCCAGUCACUUUGACGCAUUAAGUGAGUGAGUUCACAAAAUACAACACGCAUGAUGAGCAUUAACAGGCAUACAGAUAUUAACAUAGCUCUCUCACUCACAGAUACACGCACAGAUAUGUCAAGCAGCAUACACACACACUGAAAUGACUGUACUCAGUGAAGUUCAGUCCAUGUAAAUGAAGAUUAUUACGUUACUAGGAUGUAGUAACACCUCACCAUCAUUCAUCUUAUAUUGCUCAUUCUGAUAUCUCUUAAUUUCUUGUUUUGACUUUUUCUGUGUGAUUAUUUGCGUAUUCAUAUUGUAAUGUUAGACACUUACUGCCCUGCCGGAGCUAGAAACAUAGACAUUUCGCUGCACCCGCUUUAACACCUGCUAAUAUCUGUAUGUGACAAAUGCAAUUUGAUUUGAUUUGAUUUUGAUUUUUAAAAAAUUGUAAGAAAAGAGAGACGGGGAGAAAAAAGAGAAAGGAAGUCAGUGAAGUGAAUGAAUAAUGCCAGGAUGCCAGGUAAAAGAAAGGAGGCGGAAUGAAGAAGAGAGAGAGAAAGAGAUGGAUCCAGGAAGACGACUGGGAGUGUUUCCGAUUCUACUAGUAAUAUGAGAAUGCUUUGUGAAAUGUAAUGCUAUGGGUUUUACGCUAAUCCGUCCGUGUCGGGGACAUGGGCCGCGUCUCAAAUGUCACCCUAUUCUCUAUAUAGUGCUCUACUUAGUGCACUGUGUAGGGAAUAGGGUGCAAUUUCGGGAGCAGGCAUUGUCCCUAAGCCCCUUCUGUCGGUGUAUUACUGGUGUAUCACUGCACAGAAGUGCAGAGAGAGGGAUCAAAACUACCCAGAAUUAAAUGAAUAUUGCGCCUCUCUCGGAGUCCUCUCCAUAUCUCUCUAUCUUGUCAUCCUCCUCUCUCCCCCUUUAGUUUUGAUCCAUCCUCCUCUCAUCUCAACAUAUUUCCAGACAAAUAUUCUACACCCACCUACAGUUUUGUUUACGUGUACAGUAUCUGUGUUCUGUAAUGGCUGCCGUCAGAUGACUGUUGUGGGGGAAUCAAAGAAGUUGCAUGAAAACAUGGAGUAGUGGGUGUUUAUACGGUGGUGGGGAAUGCUGGUACUACCAUAGUUAGAGAGAGAGAGGUGGGGGAGAGAGAGAGUGGCGGGGGAGAUAGAGAGAGACAGAGAGAGAGAGUGACGGUCGGAGAGAGAGAGAGAGAGAGAGAGAGAGAGAGAGAGUGGCGGGGCAGAGAGAGAGAGAGAGAGAGAGAGAGAGAGAGAGAGUGGCGGGAGAGAGAGAGAGAGAGAGAGAGAGAGAGAGAGAGAGAGAGAGAGAGAGAGAGAGAGAGAGAGAGGAGAGUGG